rnacentral:tRNA from 1 species
GGGAUUGUGGCUUAGUGGUUGAGCACUUAUCUAGUACAUGUGAAGCCCUGAGUUCAAUCCUCAGCACCACCU